GACGCGUAAUGGUUAUCAGGUUGCGAACGUGAUCUGGCAUUAAAAGGGAACACGGUGAGACGUAGGCAUCAGCCAUCAAGUCCGUGACUGCCCCCGCAACUGUGAGCGGUUAGCAAACCUGAAUUUGACCACUGGGAGGAAACCCGGGAAGGCUCAGGCAAGCGAUGACCCGCAAGUCAGGAGACCUGCCAUGCGAUUGUAUUUCAA
rnacentral:ncRNA from 2 species